GAAAUUUUUUUUAUCUUUAUAGAAACCACCAGAAAUCAGGGAUCAAAAUCGAUAGAUGCCACAUUUUCAGGAAUAAUAAUUCUGAAAAAUAAUGUUAUCAGAGAAAUAGCAAGGCAAAUCACACAAAUACUGUAUAGUAUUUUAAGAUCCAACAAAACAACUAUAAAAAAUAGAGUUCUAAAUUUCUUCAUCGUUCUGAAAAGAAUGCUGUGAAGAUAUUAAGGAAAACAAAGUAACUAUUUGUAGGAUACACGAAACUAUAAAUGCAACAGAUGAGGAAAUUGAUCAUUACUGUAAACAUAGUGAGGAGAUUAAAGACAACUGUAGAAACUGGAAGCCAACAUGUGAUGUUUUUCGUAAACAUGAAGAUUAUAUGCAGGACCAAUUUACUGUUUAUCAAGGAACUGUUGAAAAAGACAAAGAAAUGUAUCAUGAUUAUAUAUGUCAGUAUAAAGAAGUUUUGAAGCAGUACCAACUAAAAUACUCAGAAACACCCUUUUCACGUGAAUAUUAUGAGAAGAAAAGAGA
rnacentral:lncRNA from 1 species